AGGGCAGAAGAGAAAGUAAGUCAGCAUCAUUAUUUUCCUGGUGUAGAAAAUUUAUUUGCAAUGCAAACAGGGCAGUAUAUAGUCUCUCAAAGUACCCACUCUGAUCAUGAGUGUGUCUUUUAAAGAAACAGGUCACUUUACUAGAUAAUCUCAUUUCCCCAAGCAAUAUGCAGUCAGAUUCCAAAGCACGUGCUGAACUUCCCAAGUAUUUACCAGUUCACAUUUUUUUUUUAAGCCAGUGAAUUGUCAGCAUAUAGUCCUUUCAGUAGAAUAUUAAAGGCUGUAAAAUAAGUGCAGGGGUAUCAAGGUCAGAACCAGCACUCAAUGGAAUCCUGACCCAAGCAACAGGUAAUGGAGAACAGGAGGUCUGGCCAGUGAGGAGCCCAGUGGGCCAGAUUAACUUGCUCAAGACUUUGGACACAAAGUUUAUGUUCAGUGAUGCAAUGUUUAAAGGUGCCCUCAGGUUCAUGUAUUGGGUGUCUGGGGCUUUAGGAAACUCAAAUAAUCUGUGUCCUGCAUUUGAAGGCCAUUUCAAAGAAUGCUUAUGAAUUAAAAAGCUUCCUGGUGUUAAACUGAAGGAAUCAAAGGAGAGGAGGCAGAAUCUGCAGGUGGUACCCACUUAUAAAGCAUUCUAACUACAUCUGGAAAACAACAUUAAGUAGCCCACUGUUUAUGAGUUUGUCAAAAAUGUAGUCCCCUGUAACAAGGCUUCUCUUCGUCAGUGAGGCACCCCUAAAAUAAGGCAGCUCCACCCAAGAGCAGUCACUGUCCAGGUGUCCUCUCCUACAGGGCUAAUUUGCAGCCACUUUGCACUUUGAAGUUAGCCCCUAAAUGCAACUGCAGCAAGGCUUGGGUUAGGCCUCUGAUUACAAGGGAGAUGCAAAGUAUAUCAGUGGCCCAUCAGUCAGCAGAGUAACACAACAUGUCCCCAAACUGGGGUGAGUGCUGGUUCCAGAAAGUUCUUGGAGAGCUCCCUUCUCAGGAGUGUGUUAUACAAAGCCAGAAUUGUUUAAUUUAUAGUGGUCAUCUAAGACGAAACUUUUGAGAAUGGCUUGGACUCACUUGACAACAAACGUCUAAUGGAACAGGGACUGCAGGAGGUAACUCUACAGUAACUUCUACAAAAUCUAGAAGCCCUAACUGACACAUUUUCUGUGAAAAGUGAUACAUAGUUCUGACCUGUUGUUUGAAUUUUAAAAGUAACAUUUCUUUAAACCCUGUGACACAAAUGGUCGGAAACUCAAAAUACCGACCAGGCUGAGCUUAACCUCAGAGAUCUGCCUGCUUCCGCCUACAGAGUUCUGGGAAUAAAGGUGUGCACCCACAGAGUUCACUUUGGCAGUGGUAUGUGCAUAUGCCUGCACAGGUCAGGUAUAACUCUUCCAGUUCAAGUUAUAGGCAUCUGUGAGCCAUCCAAUUUGGACGUUGGGAACUGAACUUGGGUCUUCUCCAAGAGUAGUAUGUGACCUUAACCAGUGAGCCAUCUCUUCAGCCCAAGUACCCACUUUUAAACAAAUAAUGUUUGAAAAUAUUCAGGGUGUUUGAUAAACUUUUCCUUGAAAGUACAGCUUUCUAAAUUAAUUAUAGGCUCCACUUUAUUUACCAAGAAAUAAAACUGCUAAUUAUUUAGGCUGGAAGACUAACAUAUCUUUGUUCUCUGUAACUAAGUGUGUCACAAAACUCAUUUUGUACUCAAACUUGGUCUUCAACUUUUGGCAAUCCUGCCUUACCUCACGAAUGUUGGAUUAUGGGUGUGGCUGACACACCCUGCUCUAAUAUAUAUUUUGCCCACACUCAACUUGAUUAUUAUGUCAUAUCAUUCAAAACCUUUGUGGCACAUAUAUUGAGGGUCGAGUAAAGCACAGGAAAAUAAAGACAAAUACUCUCCAGCAAUAUUUACCAUUAGACAAUGCAAUUUCACAACACUUUUUUUUAUCUUGAAAUUUGAUUAAGUGCUCUCUAGAGAAUGGAUAAUCAGGAAACACAGCAACUCAGUAAAAUGAAGAUCAGUAUUUAUAGAAUGUUAAAAGUCUGUAAUUUUGGCAUUGCAUAAGUUAAGUGAAACAAAACGAAUUUAAGGGUCUCAACAUAUCCUUUUAAGAAUUAAAGACCAGAAAACUCAGUGCUCAACACCAGGAGGUGCUAGUUAACCACAUUCUCCUAUGAAGCUCAAUUCAGUGAACCUCACUACCCUGUUAGGAAACUUCACAGUGCAUAUUCUAUGCUUUCAAUGGUUAUAUAAAGAAGCUAAAACCCGAGAAAAACACAUGCAGUGUAGAAAGAGAUGCUUCUCUAAGCAUAAAACACACUGAAUGACCACAGGAGAAACUCUGCAAUGGGGAUAACAAAGUGAAUAUAUAGUGGGGUCGCAACUACACUGAACCAGGCAGGAAGGCAGAAUACAUACCACCUAAAAGAACGACAGAAGACAGACAGACAUAGCACCUAAGAAGGUAAGUAUUCUGUUUAGAGUAAUUGCUGAAUCUGUUUCCGGCUGCCCCAAGAUUGUAAUGCAGAGCUGAGCAGUAGGUACUGACAAUAACCUCGAUGUUAAGUUUUCUUUACUAUGUGGACCUGAAAUAACAGUAAGUGAGCGGCAGAUACGGGCAUCGGAACAGUGAGUACUGUUUUACUACUAACAAGAAAAUGGCCAGCGAACUACAGGUUAUCAAUGAAAGUGAAAUUGGAUCAGCUCAAACACGGGUGAGUUAUCUCAAAAACUUCCCACUACAGACACAUUGGCUCCCAAGUUCAGUAUCCUGUCGUGGAAUGCAUCACCUUGCCAUAGGCAGUAACGAUGAAGGGAGAAAAUUGUUCUUUUCUCUCUGAAAAACAGAGGAAAAGCAAUGAGUGGCAGAAUUAGGGAGAGAAAGGGUUAAGAGUUCAAAAACAUUUGCUUUCAUGACACAAUCACUAAAGCUCCCUUGGAUAAAAACCCUUUAUAGACUGAUUUCAGAUUUUGUAAAAUUUGUGCUCCAGAUGCAGCCUGGUAAUUGACUGAGGCCGCCCCUAAACUCGGGAAGAGAGUAAUUAACACACCUGCACUACUGACUACGGGCGCACACAGAAAUCCUCUGAAGUGCAUAUGAAGGAGACAUACUUCAACUGUCUUCCAUAGGAAUGAGGUCAUUAAACUGGAGUCCUGUUGACAAGAAGAUUUGUCUAAGACCCUAAAGACCAUUUCUUUUCCUACUCAUUAACACUAAUGUGUCUUACUAGGUUUCCCUGGGUGUUUAUUAUAAUAGAAAUACUGCAGCUCCCUAAGGGUUCAUGGGCACAGUCAACCACUCCGAGAACCAGCAAGUAACAAGAUAAUAUACCUCACAGGAGUCAACUCAAAAGCAGACCAGAUAAAAAGGCGCCACCACAAAUUUUCCUUCGAAUCCGGGAUGGGGUAGUUCUUUUUGUUUUCCCUACUGAUGUGGGAUUUAGGAGUCUGGUUAGCUGAAGGAAAUAGGAAAGUAAUAUGGCGUACGAAGAAACACCCUGGAAAAACAAACUAUUCUACCUGCUAAGAGCUGGGCUUCAAAAGUCUCUUUUGAGUGGCAUGGAGACAGCACAAACCCGACAGUCAGAAAGGUGACCCAUCACAGGUGGCUAUUUUAGAAUGUUAUCGCAUUCAGAACAUGGGACCAGGGGCAGAAAAUGAAGGUAGCAAGCACACUCAGGAAAGACUGUCCCUAAAUGGCGAUGCCAUUCUGUUCACAGCUCAUGUUAGCACUCACACAGGUGUCACCACAUUCCUGGUUCCACGAGGAAAGGACCGUUCACAGGAAGAUGUGUCUUUGACCCCUGGUGUCUGGCGCUAUGUUCCCCUAUCAAGCCUGGCUAUUCUGGAAACGUUCCUCCACAGACCUACACCUCAAUCUCCCUAUUUCAUCUUAGAAAGAAGAACGGAAGUUCCUCUCCUCCAGGAAAUGUUGGAGAGAUCUGGAAGGGUCAGGAGCGACCCGGAACGGAAAAGUCCCAUCAAAAAUCAAGUAAAUUCAAGUCUGCCAAAUCUAGCUCGAGGCCAUUCGUCCUCCUUUUCCUGCCCAGGUGGCCUUUCCAAGCAUCCGGGGGUAGCUGAGAUGAACCGACACCGGUCCUGACAUCUCCGCUGUAGCUCGGUCACUCUCCCCUGGGAAACACAGGGUCUGCGGUCCACUCUCAACUGGUCAAAGGGGGAGAAGAAAGAUGCAUAUCAGCUACCAAGGCCUUCCACCCACUUGUUAAUUAAUUUCUGCAAUAAAAACCCACUGGCACCUGCCAGCGUCAGUCUACAAUGAGCCAAUGAAUUUGGAAAAUAAUUAAAGUUAAUGAGCUGCUCUUCUGAUAGGAUCCGGAAAACUUAACAGCCAUAAUUAGUGAGAAGUGCAAAGAGAGGAAGUGUCUCUUGCUGAUAAACAGGACUUCUCCCCUCAGUGCUGAUAGAGAAUCCUGCCCAUAUGUGAAAGCCACGCUCCAUUGAGUCAGAAGAGCGUCGCUGAGUUUACAAGUGGAGAGCGAAUGAAGGCCAAGUGCUAACCUGGAAAAUGUUUCUCCAAAGCUGAAAUAUGAGAUCUGUCUCCCUAGCUCCCAAAGCCAUUGUGUCGGAAGGUUGGUAAGAACCCACGACAGUCUCCCCUGAAUGCCAUGAGCCCCAAAGCAGGGUGCCCAACUCUGUACCUCUACGUAAGAAAAAUAAGUUUUGGAACUAAGGUUAUGGGGGAACUGGAUCCUAAAUGGAAAGAGGAUGUCUGGGAGUUCAGUUUGUCUGGAUGCUUUUGGUAGAAAAAUUUUGACUACACUGCAGAGUCGUCUAGCAACAUGGUCUAGGAUCUGCCUUGGUGGCCCUGAGGAAGCCAUGGUCUGACUGGAGCCUCGGGUGUGUUCUGUUGUGAGAUGAUUAGACAUAGGGACAGUCAGGUCUUCUUCAACGCAUCUUAAUGGAACUGAGUUCAUUUUAAUUCACAUUCAAAUGAUUCCAUUAUACAUCAAAGCCUUCAGCUCACAUUUAUAACCAAAAUACCCUUCUUUCAAAAUAAAUGUAUUUAGGCUUAAAUACAACAGAUCAUUAAACCUUAGUGCAGAUAGAACUUGGCUUUGCAUUAACGGGAACUUCGAAAUACUGAAGACAAUUUUAAGGUUAUUGUUUUGGACUACAGCUGUCGAUAGUACUUUGAAAUAUAACAGAUUCCUUCAAAGUAGGGUUUAUUUUUUGUUUUGCUUAUUUAAUUAAUUGGUUCUUGAAAUAAUGUCGUGUCCCCACCACCACCACCCAACCUCCCCAGUCUCUCUGCUGUGGCCUGCAUGGCUUGAGAGAUCUGACGGGGAGUAACAGGACGCUGAAAAAGACAGACACAGUAAGGUAAAGUUGGGGUCAGCUGGGCCAUGCCAUGCUUGGAGAUGAACCAGCAGCCAUGUUUGUUCCAUGGAGCAUGAACAAGGGAGUGGGCUACCUGGUCACAGUAUGGGGGGAUCUGUAGGGGAGCAGUCUUGGGGAGGUGGGGUGGGCUCUGUCAGUCAGAUGGGAUGGGAAAGCUCCAUCCAUACUGCCUUGCACACAUUGUUUUGUUCUUAGCAAACUGUCAACUGUCUACACCUUUACCAGGAGAAAGCCCUUGCCAUGUCCCUGAGCCUGACCCAGGGAAGACCGUGCUGUUCCCAUGAGUCUGAGGCAUCUGUGUCCCUGACGUGCUUAUGUCACAGAGGCUAAUUUAUAGGGAAGCAGGCUCGCUCACCCACCUCCACAUCCUACCUAGCCUGGCCUUAAACUUGAGGCAACCCUCCUGCCUCAGUCUCCCAAGAGUUAGGAUUACAAGUAUGAGCCCCUGCACCUGGCUUCUGAGGUUAAUUAAUUGGUAAAAAAAAAUAAUCAUUAUUAUACUCCGUGCAUGAGGAAUCAGGAGAAUUCUGCCCACUAAUCUAUGACCAAGGCUUCCUUAGCAUCUAGAGUUGGUUUUAUGUUAGGUAAAAGCACUCUGUCAAACUGACCAGGCAGAAUGUCUUUUAGAGGAAUUUCUUUUCUUUUUUUUUUUCUGCUCUGUGUCUGAGUGUUCCUUUAUUACGGUAACCUUUUCUUUCACUCUGAAUCACAGUGUGACCAUUUUUGGGGUGGGGUGGGGGAAUCUUUUCAACGAUAAAUUUCAAGUCCUGUGCUACAGACGGUAUGCAUUACUCAGCCGAGGGGACAGAUGGAUUGGUGCCCAAGCUGGCUCACAUGCCGUCAGUGGAUAUUUCCUGCUGCAUUUUCUUUCAAAGGAAUAAAAAAACGUUACACUCACAGCAGUGCCCACCCAGCAGUGGCCUCUGGGAAUUUCUUCCUUCCUUGUGCCCUGGGAUUUCCCAGGAGCAGAGAUCACAAAGAUGAGGUCUAUGCUUUAAACAACCCUUGGAUGGAGUCAGAAAUCAGAACUCUAGGCUACUCCACGUUAUCCUGUGACGGGCAAAGCCUCCCCGCUCAUCACAGCCAGGCUGGGGCCGUGGGGCCACCUCCCCCAGCAGGAGCUCAACGUGGGACUGCGAUGACUGUACCUCGUCCUCACGUGACUCAAAAGUGAGUUUGGGGCUCCCUCGCCCACACAACAGGUGGAUACUGAGAGGUGAUAGGACAGUGGAUAGUUUGUGAUCUCACACCCAGUGAGGUGACCAUCCUGCAGGAAUACUCGCUCGCAAGUGCACCAUGAUGCCCACGGUGGACCAGUCACUGUCAUGAUUGUUUUACAUGAUUAGCUGACUGAUGGUGUAACCCCAAGGUAAAGACUGUUCUCAUACCCUCACUUUAUAUAUAUAUGGAACAUGUUCUGCUUUCUGUGGAGCUUGUCAUAGCCUCUGUGAGUGCAGGCGAUUCGGCUCACCCAGUAUUUAUGCCCUCAGCUAUUGUUCUGCAUCACUUCAACGUUAACAGCCCUGAAGAGCCGGAAUCAAAGGAUAAAACGUGUACGACUGUUUAAAUUUACAGCUACUUUGUAAAUGUACAGAGGGUAGGCUACGUUCUCUGAGUCCCCCAUAAACACUUGUUUCCUAAUUGUUCAAAGAAUGAGAUAGACA